GACGUAGGAUGCGAGCGUUGUCCGGAUUUAUUGGGCGUAAAGAGUUCGUAGGUGGUUCGUUAAGUCUGGUGUUAAAGACUGGGGCUCAACCCUGGAAGUGCAUUGGAUACUGGCGGACUGGAGUGCAGUAGAGGCAAGCGGAAUUCCCAGUGUAGCGGUGAAAUGCGUAGAUAUUGGGAGGAACACCAGUGGCGAAGGCGACUCACUGGACACGUAUUGACGCUGAGGUGCGAAAGCGUGGGGAGCAAACAGG
rnacentral:rRNA from 1 species